rnacentral:rRNA from 1 species
UACGGAGGGAUGCAAGCGUUAUCCGGAAUGAUUGGGCGUAAAGCGUCCGCAGGUGGCUGUGUAAGUCUGCUGUCAAAGAGCAAAGCUCAACUUUGUAAAGGCAGUGGAAACUACACGGCUAGAGUGCGUUCGGGGCAGAGGGAAUUCCUGGUGUAGCGAUGAAAUGCGUAGAGAUCAGGAGGAACACCAGUGGCGAAGGCGACUUCCUGGCCUGUUCUUGACGCUGGAGGCGCGAAAGCUAGGGGAGCAAACGGG